AGGGAAGGGCUGAAUGCUCUGUGUUUAAGGGAGAGAUAGAAUGGACAGCUGGGCAAACACACACCCGGGGACUCCUUUCUCCAAGACCGAUGGGCAUUGGGGGUGGCAGAGGAAAUACCAGCAUGGAACAACAUCCCAGGGACCCGCGUCCUCCCCAGGUUACAGUCCUGGGUCCCUGCAUGGCUGCAUGUUGUCUGCAGGCCACAUCUCCUCAGGACUCCCGCACUCAUCACUUUCCCAUUGCUAUGGAAGAGAGGUGUCAAGGUGGCACCUGCCUCCCUGUCCGUAGUGCUCAGGUGUGUGGCUACCAGAGGAAAAGCCACUCCCAACCUUUGCCGACAACCAUCCCGUUUCUGGGUUCCUGGAGAAGUCUGGGAAGCUGCUCUGUUGUAGAGGCUGAAAGGAGGGCUGGUGAGAGCCCCCAGCUGAAACCAGCCCUGCCCCUUACCCUUCCUCACCCCUCUACCUUCACUCUCCUCCUAACACUCCAGGGUUUUGUUUUUUGUUUGUUUUUUGCUUUUCUCACCCCAGGGCUCCUGCCUCUCCAGCCUGGAGACAGAUUUGAUUUGGGAUUGUUACAAAAAUAAUAAUAACCCAAAUGCAGAGAAGCCACGGAAAGGGCUGAGGGCAACCCUCCCCUCCCCCCGCCCUCCUCCCUCCCCAUUCCAAACCGAGUACAAAACCGCACCCAAAGCAGACAUUCUGUACAGGGGGGUGGGUGGGCUGGGGAGCAAGCGGGAGGGGCGGCCCUGCGGUUGCUCUGUACAAGUCCGGGUUGGUGACGGCCCCAGCAGUCCCCACAGGGCCCCUGGGGGGCGCAGGAAGUGGGCAGGCGCCUCUAGAUGAAAUAUUCCUUCUUGUCGUCCCCUCCUGACUGCCCGCCUUCUGCAUUGAUGAUGGCCGUGUCCGCGUCUGGAGCAUCGUCGGAGCCUUUUGCCUCAUGUGUCAGUAGUGGCCAAGGAAGAUGAGCAUGAUGAGCAGCAGGAAGACAAUGAAAGCCACGAUCCCACCGAUGAUGGCGUGUCCCGCCCACUUAAGGAUAUUCCUGGAAGAAGAUGCAGUAGCUCCUUCUACCACCAGGCGUCAGCACUGGAAACAGACGCAGUCCAACAGGACUCCCUCUGCCUGGCUGUUGAGCACAAAGCAGAGGGGAGAUCAGCAAGAUACCAACCACAAGGGCACAAGAACUUUCUCUCACUGCCAAUCAUCAUCAGAUUGGUCUGGAGAGAUCUGGGGGCAGAGACCGGAGCUCAGUGCAUUGUCCUUGCUCUUGGCAUCCUACAAUAGCCUUGUUGUGCUGAGGCAGCUCCCACAUGCUGAGGUCUGCCCCUGGAGUGGGAAUCACCCAUCCAGACAUUCUGAUCCCAAGAACUCAGACCUCUUAUCGCUGGGAGGCCUGGCUCUUAUCCCCUCAACUGUUUUAAUGAGUGUCUCAAGUAAGGGAGCCUCUGAUGUUUCCCCGACAAUGCAUUUCCCCUAUUCUGAGAAAAGAUAAGACUUUCUGGCGGGACCCACAGCCAUUGGGAUCUUCAAAAAAAUCGCCCGUCAACUCUCCAUAAAGGGGCCUCUGUGUCACCCUGUCACUACUCCUGAAGCUGGGUUUUGUGGUCACAGCUUUGAGAAGAACUUCAGAGAAGGAGCAUCACCUGGUCCUUCUAGAAGAUAUGGCAUCUGAGAAAAGAUUCUGUCUCUUGGCAUAGUACAAGCUUCUCUCUAUUUUCUGUCCAGACCCAGUACACUGUGCUUAAGGUGGGCAGAAAAAAAAAUGACAGCAGUUGCAUGCACCCAAUACCUAGUCUUAGGAGAAGCAACUCUGAGAAGAGCCAGUUAGAGAAGGAAAUGCACCUGCGCCUGCACUUGAGAGGCUUUGGGGCCUCUGCACACAGAAUUAUUGUUCUUGUUGUCAGACAAGUGCAGGGGAUGGAAGAUGGUGUCACCCAGGCCACCACUACCAAAGAAAGGCAGAUGAGAGCCCACCCUUCUAAUGUUUUUUCACUAAGCGGCCAUUACACAUUCUAGAGUGGACCUGGGACCUAAGCCCUCAGGGACCCCAGUGGUGGGCUGGUUUUCCUUUACUCCACUCCCCGUCACAGUUUGGGGAUGUUAUCAGGAAGCAUUUUAAAAAAGGGAAUAAGAUGGACAGAGAAAGGAGAUUCUGGAGGAAGAGAACUGAGGAGGGCUUACCAUUAACAUUGAGGGUGUAGUAGGCCUUGUAGCUGCCCAUGUUGCUGGUGGCUGUGCAGCCGUAGGUGCCACUGUCACUCUUGUUGAGGAAAGGGAAGAUCAGGGCACUCUCCUGGGUCAUCUUCAGGGGUGGCACACUGCCCUCCUUCUCCCAUAGGUACUGCUGGGGGCUGUCGAGGCAGACAAAUCAGAAGAGCUCAGGAGAGCAUAGGCCAGGGAGCUAAAAGAAAAAAAAAAAUAACUGGGAGCAGGGAUGUCAAGGACUGUUUGAUGAGGCUGGAGAAAUUAUCGGGGCCAGAGACACUGGAGCUGCUAUACGCCAGGUGGCCUCUUGGGGUUCGUUCUGGGGAAGCUGUAGAUCUCCAGACUUGUAUCUUACUUUAACUUGGCCUUUGUGGGAAACUCAGGGACUGAGUUAGGGAGUGGCCCCUUCCCAUUUGUGCUGCUUUGCAGAAGAACUAAUUGCAGGCGGACAUUAUUGGACAGUCAGGGAAAUGAGAGGCUCAGGUCAGACAAUACAGAGGAGAUAGGAAGGAGCUGUUAUGUGAAGAAGGCAAUCUGAGAAUGUGGAGAGUAAGGAGGAGACCAGGAAAUGGAUCUUCUUACACUGGAUUGCCGCGACCCUCACAGUGUAGCAACAGCUUCUGGCCCUCACGAGGAUGGGGAGGGUCUGGCCUAAUCAUCGCAGUUGGUGUGUCUGUGGAGAAGGAAAUGGUAUCAAUGAAUACCUCCCCACACGGCUUAGGAGAUUCCCUCACUUAGUUGCACACUACAGCUUCUACCUCUAAAUGUUUCCGCAGCUCAAGAAGUGCAACAAAGACCUUCCUUCUCCUACUUCUCAUGAACAAGGACCAUUAUUGCUAUUGAAUAUGUGAGCAACUUCUCUUGCAACCUUGUGUGAUAGGAUUCUGGAAGGUCUGUCCUUGGUGGGCCCUAAGAGAUGUCUUAACAGAAAGCUGAGAAGGGAAAUGAGUGGUUUACCUGUGCCUAGCAAACCUCCUAGCACAUAGGAAAGACCUAAUACAUAUUUUUUACAGAACAAAUAAAGUUGAACUUGUCACAUAUUGAGCUCACA
rnacentral:lncRNA from 1 species